GAUAAACGCUAGCGGCAGGCUUAACACAUGCAAGUCGAGGGGCAGCAUAGAUUGUAGCAAUACAAUUGGUGGCGACCGGCGCACGGGUGCGUAACGCGUAUGCAACCUACCCGUCACAGGGGGAUAAUCCGGAGAAAUCUGGGCUAAUACCCCAUAACAUAUGGAUUGGCAUCGGUUCAUGUUGAAAUUUUCGGAGGGCACGGAUGGGCAUGCGUAGCAUUAGCUUGUUGGUGAGGUAACGGCUCACCAAGGCGACGAUGCUUAGGGGGACUGAGAGGUUUUCCCCCCACACUGGUACUGAGACACGGACCAGACUCCUACGGGAGGCAGCAGUGAGGAAUAUUGGUCAAUGGGCGCAAGCCUGAACCAGCCAUGCCGCGUGCAGGAUGACGGCUCUAUGAGUUGUAAACUGCUUUUGUACGAGGGUAAAGUGGGUUACGUGUAACCUUUUGAAAGUAUCGUACGAAUAAGGAUCGGCUAACUCCGUGCCAGCCGCCGCCGUAA
rnacentral:rRNA from 1 species